CUUGGGAGGAGCUGCUGUGUUCUGGUUCAUACUGUAGCUGAUUUCAGGAGACUGGGUGGGGAGCAACUCAGGGUUACCAAGUGUUAUAGCGUGGACCAGGAUAACCCCCACCGGCGCAGGAGGGGGAAUAUGGGACUCUGACACAAAGCAGCCUGUAGGGUCCCAAGCGAGAAGUCGGCCGCUGUUCCCAGCGUGCCCCACACUAUGCUGCGACAAACUGGAGAAGACUUCACUGGAGCGUUCAGCAACUCCCAGACACCUUCAGGUUCCGGGUCAGCGCAAUUCUGCAAUGGUGACCGCUUUAUUGCCAG